rnacentral:pre_miRNA from 1 species
ACCGAGUUCGGAUGGUGGAUAGAUGCUAUUAGAAAGUCUAGCACCAUUUGAAUUCAGUUC